rnacentral:sRNA from 1 species
GCUUGCUGCUGCGUGACGGCGGAGGGCUAGGAAAAGGCGCAGUGGGGCCCGGAGCUGCCACCCCUGACUCGACGCAGCUUCCGUUCUCCUGGUGACGUGGCCUACAGGAACCGCCCCAGUGGUCAGCUGCCGCGCUGUUGCUAGGCAACAGCGUGCGAGCUCAGAUCAGCGUGGGGCGGAGGAGAAGUGGAGUUUGGAAGUUCAGGGGCACAGGGGCACAGGCCCACGACUGCAGCGGGAUGGACCAGUACUGCAUCCUGGGCCGCAUCGGGGAGGGCGCCCACGGCAUCGUCUUCAAGGCCAAGCAUGUGGAGACUGGCGAGAUAGUUGCCCUCAAGAAGGUGGCCCUAAGGCGGUUGGAGGACGGCUUCCCUAACCAGGCCCUGCGGGAGAUUAAGGCUCUGCAGGAGAUGGAGGACAAUCAGUAUGUGGUGCAACUGAAGGCUGUGUUCCCACACGGUGGAGGCUUUGUGCUGGCCUUUGAGUUCAUGCUGUCGGAUCUGGCCGAGGUGGUGCGCCAUGCCCAGAGGCCACUAGCGCAGGCACAGGUCAAGAGCUACCUGCAGAUGCUGCUCAAGGGCAUCGCCUUCUGCCAUGCCAACAACAUUGUACAUCGGGACCUGAAACCUGCCAACCUGCUCAUCAGCGCCUCAGGCCAGCUCAAGAUAGCGGACUUUGGCCUGGCUCGAGUCUUUUCCCCAGACGGCAGCCGCCUCUACACACACCAGGUGGCCACCAGGUAGGGAGGGCCAGAUCCCUUCCAGUCCUUUCCGUGGGGAAGAGAUGCUUCUGGGCCUUUUCUCCAGACAUUGCUUGUGGGGCUGGGGUCACCUCCCCAGGCAUCCUUUUCUCAGCCCAGUGCCUGCCAGCCCUCUUCCUCGCAGGUGGUACCGAGCCCCCGAGCUCCUGUAUGGUGCCCGCCAGUAUGACCAGGGCGUCGAUCUGUGGUGAGACCCCUGUGGGUGGUCAAAGGGUAACAUGGCUCAUGGAUUUCUGCUAGGCUCUGAGGUCUCUGAGCUGUUUGGUGGUCUUUUCCCUGGUGGGAGUUUAGGCUUCCUUAAGGGUGUCUUCCCUGGUUGGGGUAUUCUGAGCACUUUGGGGUUGGGGUUCCUCACUAUGAUGUUUUCGAGCUGGGUGGGGGCCAGGUGGGAUGAGAAUGGUGGUCCCAGGUGGGAAGCUUUCUGGGCUAGUUGGGGAGGUGGUCUGAGCCGAUAUGUGCUGGAGUUAGAUCCCAGGAUAUGGCAUCUCUGAGCUGGUCAGAGGCCUGUGUCCUUGGACAUGAAAGGUCUGAGCUUGUUUUGCAGCAAGAAGAUAGUUGGCAGUGCCCAUGGGUCUGAGAUUUGGGGCAGGUUUGCAGGUCUGCCCCAGAAGUGUCCUAGAGCAGGAGUCUCUGAGAAGUCUUGGAACAGCUGGGGCUUUGCUCUGGGUUCUAGGGUUGAGGGCUUUGAGGGUUCAGGGACUGGGCCUCUGGACUUGAGGCUCCAGGGCUGGCUUGUGGGGCCUUGCCCUGGAGUGCAGUGUUAGAGCUGCUCUGUGGGUGGGUCUGUGGUCCAUGGUGGGAGAUCUCUGACCUGCUUGGGGCUCUGUGUCCACAGGUCUGUGGGCUGCAUCAUGGGGGAGCUGUUGAAUGGGUCCCCCCUUUUCCCGGGCAAGAACGAUAUUGAACAGCUUUGCUAUGUGCUUCGCAUCUUGGGCACCCCAAACCCUCAAGUCUGGCCGGUUUGUAGGGGCCCUUGGUGAGGUGGGUGUGGGGCAGGUUUACUCCACUCCCAACAGCAAGUAACCACUCCCUCCUCUGAACCUUCUCUCUCCUGGCCCCAACCCCCCUUGAUGGACAGGGACCACUGUCCUGGCCCAACUCAGGGCUUCCUCCUUCCUGCUGUCAUUUGGGUUGGGGUAGGUCCUGUCCUUUGUCCCUUUUCACCCCAGUACACACAUGUGCAGUGUCUCAGCAAGCUGUGCACAGAGUCGUCAUCUGAGAGGGCAAGGGGAUGCAUGAAGGAAUACAGGGGUGGGUGAGUGAAUGAAUGAUGGGUCAGGGAGACACAUGGAUGGGAGAGCACCCCCCAUGUGAGUGUGUGUUAGGGGCUGAGAGUUGACAGCAGAGAGCAUGGCAAGGGUCGGGGACUACUCUCAUUGUACCCUGUUCCUUCUCCCUGGCCCAGGAGCUCACUGAGCUGCCGGACUACAACAAGAUCUCCUUUAAGGAGCAGGUGCCCAUGCCCCUGGAGGAGGUGCUGCCCGACGUCUCUCCCCAGGCAUUGGAUCUGCUGGGUCAAUUCCUCCUCUACCCUCCUCGCCAGCGCAUCGCAGCUUCCAAGGCUCUCCUCCAUCAGUACUUCUUCACAGCUCCCCUGCCUGCCCAUCCAUCUGAGCUGCCGAUUCCUCAGCGUCUAGGGGGACCUGCCCCCAAGGCCCAUCCAGGGCCCCCCCACAUCCAUGACUUCCACGUGGACCGGCCUCUUGAGGAGUCGCUGUUGAACCCAGAGCUGAUUCGGCCCUUCAUCCUGGAGGGGUGAGAAGUUGGCCCUGGUCCCGUCUGCCUGCUCCUCAGGACCACUCAGUCCACCUGUUCCUCUGCCACCUGCCUGGCUUCACCCUCCAAGGCCUCCCCAUGGCCACAGUGGGCCCACACCACACCCUGCCCCUUAGCCCUUGCGAGGGUUGGUCUCGAGGCAGAGGUCAUGUUCCCAGCCAAGAGUAUGAGAACAUCCAGUCGAGCAGAGGAGAUUCACGACCUGUGCUCGGUGAGCCUUACCUUCUGUGUGCUACUGACGUACCCAUCAGGACAGUGAGCUCUGCUGCCAGUCAAGGCCUGCGUAUGCAGAAUGAUGAUGCCUGCCUUGGUGCUGCUUCCCCGAGUGCUGCCUCCUGGUCAAGGAGAAGUGCAGAGAGUAAGGUGUCCUUAUGUUGGAAACUCAAGUGGAAGGAAGAUUUGGUUUGGUUUUAUUCUCAGAGCCAUUAAACACUAGUUCAGUAUGUGAGAUAUAGAUUCUAAAAACCUCAGGUGGCUCUGCCUUAUGUCUGUUCCUCCUUCAUUUCUCUCAAGGGAAAUGGCUAAGGUGGCAUUGUCUCAUGGCUCUCGUUUUUGGGGGUCAUGGGGAGGGUAGCACCAGCCAUAGCCACUUUUGCCCUGAGGGCCUCCUGUGUGCUUCACAUCACUGAGCACUCAUUUAGAAGUGAGGGAGACAGAAGUCUAGGCCCAGGGAUGGCUCCAGUUGGGGAUCCAGCAGGAGACCCUCUGCACAUGAGGCUGGUUUACCAACAUCUACUCCCUCAGGAUGAGCGUGAGCCAGAAGCAGCUGUGUAUAUAAGGAAACAAGCAUUCCUGGAAUUAAUUUAUAAAUUUAAUAAAUCCCAAUAUAAUCCCAGCUAGUGCUUUUUCCUUAUUAUAAUUUGAUAAGGUGAUUAUAAAAGAUACAUGGAAGGAAGUGGAACCAGAUGCAGAAGAGGAAAUGAUGGAAGGACUUACGGUAUCAGAUACCAAUAUUUAAAAGUUUGUAUAAUAAUAAAGAGUAUGAUUGUGGUUCAAGGAUAAAAA